rnacentral:rRNA from 1 species
UUAGCUUGCUAAGGCCGAUGGCGACCGGCGCACGGGUGAGUAACACGUAUCCAACCUGCCGUCUACUCUUGGACAGCCUUCUGAAAGGAAGAUUAAUACAAGAUGGCAUCAUGAGUCCGCAUGUUCACAUGAUUAAAGGUAUUCCGGUAGACGAUGGGGAUGCGUUCCAUUAGAUAGUAGGCGGGGUAACGGCCCACCUAGUCUUCGAUGGAUAGGGGUUCUGAGAGGAAGGUCCCCCACAUUGGAACUGAGACACGGUCCAAACUCCUACGGGAGGCAGCAGUGAGGAAUAUUGGUCAAUGGGCGCAGGCCUGAACCAGCCAAGUAGCGUGAAGGAUGACUGCCCUAUGGGUUGUAAACUUCUUUUAUAAAGGAAUAAAGUCGGGUAUGUAUACCCGUUUGCAUGUACUUUAUGAAUAAGGAUCGGCUAACUCCGUGCCAGCAGCCGCGGUAAUACGGAGGAUCCGAGCGUUAUCCGGAUUUAUUGGGUUUAAAGGGAGCGUAGAUGGAUGUUUAAGUCAGUUGUGAAAGUUUGCGGCUCAACCGUAAAAUUGCAGUUGAUACUGGAUAUCUUGAGUGCAGUUGAGGCAGGCGGAAUUCGUGGUGUAGCGGUGAAAUGCUUAGAUAUCACGAAGAACUCCGAUUGCGAAGGCAGCCUGCUAAGCUGCAACUGACAUUGAGG